UUCAAUCUGAAUUUCAAGAAUCAUGCAGGGCGUGGGAAAAGCUUACAAUGAGUUGAAACAAGGAGAGCCAACAAUUGAAUGCUUUUUUGAUUUGACCAGGUUCCAAUCCAAGUAAGCUUCAGAGUGAUGCCUUGAGGGAAGCCAUUACCAAAGUCCUCCUCCGCUACUCAUCAGCUCUUGUUCAAGGUGCUGCAAAUGUCUUCUGGAUUGACAUCCAAACAAACACAAGGCGUUUCCAAUCUCUCUUCCGGUAUCUUCUGGAGGAAGUUGCUUUGGUGCCUGAGCAAUUAAAGAAAAUUCCCCUGCAGUUAAAUUGGCUCAAUGUUCAAUUUGAAAAAUGUCUCUUGUUUCAAGCAUUUGACCUCUGCGAGAAGUUGGUGCUACAUUCUAACAUUCUCUUCUUCUGUGUUUCUCAUGGCAUAUCUGCCUAGCCUUGCUCUUUCCCCUGGCAUCAACCACAGCCACAUCCCCCUCUGGCACCAUCUCCUUCUCUGCCUACCCCAACCCUCACCACCAAACACUAUCACCUCUUUCCACUUCAUUGUCUAUUCCCAACAGCCGAACACCACCACCAACCGCUGUUCCAACACUACCACCAC